UGUCUCCUCCAAUACCUCCUAAGGUUUGGAUUCAAGCCCGCGCCGCAAGGCCUGCGGGCUUUUUUUU
rnacentral:ncRNA from 1 species